rnacentral:rRNA from 1 species
UGGGGAAUAUUGCACAAUGGGCGCAAGCCUGAUGCAGCCAUGCCGCGUAGUAUGAAGAAGGCCUUCGGGUUGUAAAGUACUUUCAGCGAGGAGGAAGGCGUUGUGGUUAAUAACCGUCAACGAUUGACGUUACUCGCAGAAGAAGCACCGGCUAACGUCCGUGCCAGCAGCCGCGGUAAUAACGGAGGGUGCAAGCGUUAAUCGGAAUUACUGGGCGUAAAGCGCACGCAGGCGGUCUGUCAAGUCGGAUGUGAAAUCCCCGGGCUCAACCUGGGAACUGCAUCCGAAACUGGCAGGCUAGAGUCUUGUAGAGGGGGUAGGAAUUCAGGA